AGUUAAGUGACUAAGCGUACACGGUGGAUGCCUAGGCAAUCAGAGGCGAAGAAGGACGUGCUAAUCUGCGAAAAGCUUGGAUGAGUUGAUAAGAAGCGUUUAAUCCAAGAUAUCCGAAUGGGGAAACCCGAUGGAUGAAGAAUCCAUCAUUUCAUUAUGAAUCCAUAGUAAUGAAAGGCAAACCGGGAGAACUGAAACAUCUAAGUACCCCGAGGAAAAGAAAUCAAUCGAGAUUUUGUAAGUAGCGGCGAGCGAAAGCGAAAGAGCCAGUGAGUGAUAGCAGCAAAGACAGAAGAAUUGGCUGGGAAGCCAAGCGACACAGGGUGAUAGCCCCGUAUUCGAAGUUUUUGUUGUGGUACUAAGCUUGCAACAAGUAGGGCGGGACACGAGAAAUCCUGUUUGAAGAUGGGGGGACCAUCCUCCAAGGCUAAAUACUCCUGAUUGACCGAUAGUGAACCAGUACUGUGAAGGAAAGGCGAAAAGAACCCCAGUGAGGGGAGUGAAAUAGAACCUGAAACCGUGUACGUACAAGCAGUGGGAGCCCUUUGGGGUGACUGCGUACCUUUUGUAUAAUGGGUCAGCGACUUAUAUUUUGUAGCGAGGUUAACUGAAUAAGGGAGCCGAAGGGAAACCGAGUCUUAACUGGGCGGAUAGUUGCAAGGUAUAGACCCGAAACCCGGUGAUCUAGCCAUGGGCAGGUUGAAGGUUGGGUAACACUAACUGGAGGACCGAACCGACUAAUGUUGAAAAAUUAGCGGAUGACUUGUGGCUGGGGGUGAAAGGCCAAUCAAACCGGGAGAUAGCUGGUUCUCCCCGAAAUCUAUUUAGGUAGAGCCUUAUGUGAAUACCUUCGGGGGUAGAGCACUGUUUCGGCUAGGGGUCCAUCCCGGAUUACCAACCCGAUGCAAACUGCGAAUACCGAAGAGUAAUGCAUAGGAGACACACGGUGGGUGCUAACGUCCAUCGUGGAGAGGGAAACAACCCAGACCGCCAGCUAAGGUCCCAAAGUCUAUAUUAAGUGGGAAACGAAGUGGGAAGGCUUAGACAGCUAGGAUGUUGGCUUAGAAGCAGCCAUCAUUUAAAGAAAGCGUAAUAGCUCACUAGUCGAGUCGGCCUGCGCGGAAGAUGUAACGGGGCUAAAAUAUAGCACCGAAGCUGCGGCAUCAGACGUAUCACUAAUACGCCUUACGAUUAACAACAUCGAAUGAAGUGAAACGGAAAGAGAUGUUGGUCAAGCAACCCGAACGUUGAGUCGGAAAGUAAUCGAAGAGAGGAUUAUUAGUGAUACGUCUGUUGGGUAGGGGAGCGUUGUGUAAGCGGAUGAAGGUGAAUCGAGAGGUUUGCUGGACGUAUCACAAGUGCGAAUGCUGACAUAAGUAACGAUAAAACGAGUGAAAAACUCGUUCGCCGGAAGACCAAGGGUUCCUGUCCAACGUUAAUCGGGGCAGGGUGAGUCGGCCCCUAAGGCGAGGCUGAAAAGCGUAGUCGAUGGGAAACGGGUUAAUAUUCCCGUACUUGUUNNNNNNNNNNNNNNNNNNNNNNNNNNNNNNNNNNNNNNNNNNNNNNNNNNNNNNNNNNNNNNNNNNNNNNNNNNNNNNNNNNNNNNNNNNNNNNAAGAUAAACCGUACUGAAAACCGACACAGGUGGUCAGGUAGAGAAUACUCAGGCGCUUGAGAGAACUCGGGUGAAGGAACUAGGCAAAAUAGCACCGUAACUUCGGGAGAAGGUGCGCUGGCGUAGGUUGUAGGAGUAUACCUCCGAAGGCUGAACCAGUCGAAGAUACCAGCUGGCUGCAACUGUUUAUUAAAAACACAGCACUCUGCAAACACGAAAGUGGACGUAUAGGGUGUGAUGCCUGCCCGGUGCUGGAAGGUUAAUUGAUGGUGUUAUCGAAAGAGAAGCUCCUGAUCGAAGCCCCAGUAAACGGCGGCCGUAACUAUAACGGUCCUAAGGUAGCGAAAUUCCUUGUCGGGUAAGUUCCGACCUGCACGAAUGGCAUAAUGAUGGCCAGGCUGUCUCCACCCGAGACUCAGUGAAAUUGAAAUCGCCGUGAAGAUGCGGUGUACCCGCGGCUAGACGGAAAGACCCCGUGAACCUUUACUAUAGCUUGACACUGAACAUUGAAUUUUGAUGUGUAGGAUAGGUGGGAGCCUAAGAAGCAGUCACGCCAGUGAUUGUGGAGGCGUCCUUGAAAUACCACCCUUUAACGUUUGAUGUUCUAACGAAGAUUGCGAAACGCGGUCUCGGACAGUGUCUGGUGGGUAGUUUGACUGGGGCGGUCUCCUCCCAAAGAGUAACGGAGGAGCACGAAGGUUUGCUAAUCACGGUCGGACAUCGUGAGGUUAGUGCAAUGGUAUAAGCAAGCUUAACUGCGAGACAGACAAGUCGAGCAGGUGCGAAAGCAGGUCAUAGUGAUCCGGUGGUUCUGAAUGGAAGGGCCAUCGCUCAACGGAUAAAAGGUACUCCGGGGAUAACAGGCUGAUACCGCCCAAGAGUUCAUAUCGACGGCGGUGUUUGGCACCUCGAUGUCGGCUCAUCACAUCCUGGGGCUGAAGUAGGUCCCAAGGGUAUGGCUGUUCGCCAUUUAAAGUGGUACGCGAGCUGGGUUUAGAACGUCGUGAGACAGUUCGGUCCCUAUCUGCCGUGGGCGUUGGAGAAUUGAGAGGGGCUGCUCCUAGUACGAGAGGACCGGAGUGGACGCAUCACUGGUGUACCAGUUGUCUCGCCAGAGGCACUGCUGGGUAGCUAAAUGCGGAAGAGAUAAGUGCUGAAAGCAUCUAAGCACGAAACUC
rnacentral:rRNA from 1 species